AGUUCUCUCUACUCCCUUAACAGAGUUGUCCCCCAGGGCCAACUCACCUGACAGACCAUACCCUGCACACUGUGAUGAGGUCCCAAGUGCCAAGGGUACAUGUGUGUAGGGCUCUGCAUUAGCCACUUGCAAACUUCUGUUAACUGAGAACUUGGCCCUAAGCUCAGAUGACCUCUCGUCCUGCCUAUUGGUGUUCCCAAUAUCAUCAGAGAGUCAAUCCCUGCCUCCUUGUCCGCAUCUCCAGGCCUUUUUCAUAGUUAUGGAGCGCAGCCACACGUCCACCAACAGUCCAGCCCUCCUUUCUUCCUCUGAAUGUGCUCAGACCCCAGCAUCCCACCGCCAGGUCUGGGCUAACUGUUCCCCUUCCCCAGUCUGACAGAAGAGUGGACAAGGACAGCGGAGGUCUGAAUGGAUGAAAACUCAAGUUCAGGACAAGCUCUCCCGGAGGUCACCGUGGGGCGUCUGUGUCCUCGGGAGCCUGCAAUCUAGUCAGAGAAAGAAAGAGCAGACACUUGCGGAAAGGAAUCCAGCUCUCUCAACUCUACCAGCUCGGCUUGCAGAGAAGGCUGCUGACAGUAUGGACAGUCCAUGAUGGAAGAAAAGAACAUGGCUCCCUUUCUUCACCUCCACACAGAACUAGGAGACCACACUCACACAGCUAGCCCGUCGCUUCCCGCUCUGCCACACAGUGAGCAGGAACUUCCUGCCAAAUCCCAAAGGCACCCGUGCUUUCUGUCUGUAUGCAAGGAUCCACCCACUAUCUCCCCAGCCUUACUGUCUGCUAAACAGGGCAACUAUUCUUUAGAAUAAAAAGCAUGAAGUACAGCAGAGAACUCAAGAGGAAACUGUAAAUAGACAAUUUCAGUAUCCCUGUAUUGGUUUUAAUGCUUGCUUUUUGCCUAGUCUCCUAGUUAUUCUUGGUGCACAUAUUUUACAUAAUCAAAUGUAUGUGACAUUUCCAACUCUACGGGGCCAUUGGGGUCUAACCACCUGUUUCUCACUUUACACUUGGAGCAGCAGGGUUCACUGCUGAGCUGUGCAAAGCUCUACUAACAUACGAUUCAGGAACUACCCACACAACCUCCCACCAUCAGCUAUACUCAAUGACUUGUGGUAUCUCAGCCAUCUCUCUAUGGCCUGACCUCCCAACUCAUCAGCUAAGGACACCAUGAAAUCAUCCCAAUACAUUCUGUCUUCCCACUUUAGAAUUACUGUCUCACCACACCCCACUCUGUCCAUUCGUCAUCGCUUUCCCAACCUCCCAUACCACGUCUAUGUAAAAGGGCCGUUCUUCACGACAAGUUCUCCCUCCCUGCACUCAGGACUCCUCUCCACCAGGCCAAGAGGCUACACGGUGGAACCCUUUCCUUGCAGCAAGCGAGAGGGGAGGAAGAGAGUGAAAAAAGUCCUUUCCAAAGUGCCUUUCACUACUUAGAAAGCAAAGGACAAAUGUCAGCAUUUCCUGAUGUGAAAAACAAGUCGAGUGCCAACCCCCUGCAUGUGUGUAGGACAGGUCAUGGGAUAACCCGUCCAAUGGCUUGCCAGGAUCUAGUGCAAACAGCUAGAUGGUCCAGGCUCUGCACCUGCUGAGUCACUAAGCCAGUGGCGAGUGAUUGAGUGAGUGACUGACUGACUGACUGACUGACAGAAUGAAUGAAUGAAUGAAUGAAUGAAUGAAUGAAUGAAUGAAUAAGGAAAUGAGCAGGAAAGUGUUCCCAAAUGUCAGCCAUUCUUCCUACCCAAAAGUUACUAACUGUUUUCUUUCCCUAAGCCAGUACAGCAGCCCAACAUGACAGUAUGGAUAAGAAUCCCACAGCUGCUAGAUACCAUGCCAGGCACAGGGGCUUUAUAGGAGUGUCUUUGAAGGAACUAGAAGAAUCUUCCCUCUGCCAUCAGGAAUGUCAUACAUUAUUGAUCUUCUUGACUUAUACUGAGAAACUGGAAAAAUAAGGAGGAAUCAAUAAAACAGUAAGAGGGCACCUGGGUAAAUGGAAGCAUAUUAAUUAGCAUUUUCACAAGCUGGUAGUUUCAUAUCGCAAAGCAUGACAACAAGCUGUUAUUCUCAAGAUGUGAGCUAGGAAGCUCUCACUGUCUCUGAGUGGCUCACUCUGCACACACCAUCGCCAGGAUAGCUAGGGUCCCUCCGGGCUGACUGCAGAAAGGUACUGAGCUCCUGGGUCAAGGGUGGAAAGCCCAGCAGGCAACCAGAGGACACAGGAAGAAUCAACUGGAGGAGCCCUGCCAACCUGGAAUGCCUGCACGCCAUCGCCACAGUGCCCCUCGCCGGGCUUCCUCACAGAACUACGAUCUGUACACCUCCCCACACACUCCGCCGCAUCUCGCAGUGUCUCCCCACAGCAUUGUCUUAGCAACUAGCAUCAGAACACAAAUCCCUGCUAAGCACAGGGCUCACGCCUAGAAUCGCAGUACCCAGGAAACUGAGGCAGGAGAAUACCAGGAGUUCAAAGGCAACCUAGCUAUAGAGUGAGGCCACCUUAAAAAACGAAGGAAGGAAGGAAGGAAGGAAGGAAGGAAGGAAGGAAGGAAGGAAGGACGGACGGAAGGACAAGGUCUCUACCUGAUAUUACCAGCCCAAUUCCCAGCACUGCAUGUGGAUUCCCACGAUGGCUCCCAUCUCUUCUUCCACACUCACUUAAAUUUAGACCCUAUCCAAAGGACUAUCUUAUGGCUAGAACCUGCCAGACUCUUAUCUGGUUUCUGGUUGCAACACCUCUAGCUAAAGACUUUGCCGUAAGAAAGCAUGCUGCCUUCACAGAUGUUCUGCUCCUGCCUCACCAGCCUCCUAUAACUGUCCCCAACUUUGUGGAGAAUAUCCUCCUGGCAUCUCUACUCAUCCUUUGAAAACAGCGUGGAAGCGUGUAACUCAACAACUCACCAAGGCUCUCACAGCCUGACUGGGGACUCUGCAGCACUAUGCUAGCCUGAAAGAAAGCAGGUAGCGCUAUCACUCUGUAACCAGCAGGACACAACACUCCACUCCGUACUGCAGAGUAAAUACUAGCAGGCUCUUAGCUGGGUAGGUGUCAAUCAUCUGGGUUCCAAGAACCAGCCAUUAGGAAACAGCUCACCUUCCAGUUAACGAUGCAGGCAAUAGGGAAAUCUUAAUUCUAAAUGGCCUCUAACAGCCAAACUGUUAGAGCCAUGUACACCGGCCCACAAUCUAUAGGUAACCAAAAUACUUAAGAUGAGGGGGAGAGGAGGGAAAACAAUUAUGAGCAGACACAAGAGACAAAAUGAGUGACUACGCCUGCUUUCUCUCUCUUGAACACAUCAGUAGACUGGUUGUUACUGGCUUCCUAAGGAAUAAACAAGAACUACAAAGU
rnacentral:lncRNA from 1 species